rnacentral:rRNA from 1 species
CAGCAGUGGGGAAUAUUGCACAAUGGGCGCAAAGCCUGAUGCAGCAACGCCGCGUGAGCGAUGAAGGCCUUCGGGUCGUAAAGCUCUGUCCUCAAGGAAGAAUAAAUGACGGUACUUGAGGAGGAAGCCCCGGCUAACUACGUGCCAGCAGCCGCGGUAAUACGUAGGGGGCAAGCGUUAUCCGGAAUCACUGGGCGUAAAGGGUGCGUAGGCGGUUUUCUAAGUCAGAAGUGAAAGGCUAUGGCUCAACCAUAGUAAGCUUUUGAAACUGUUAAACUUGAGUGCAGGAGAGGAAAGUGGAAUUCCUAGUGUAGAGGUGAAAUUCGUAGAUAUUAGGAGGAACACCAGUGGCGAAGGCGACUUUCUGGACUGUAACUGACGCUGAGGCACGAAAGCGUGGGGAGCGAACAGGAUUAGAUACCCUGGGAG